ACAGGGGGAUAGCCCAGAGAAAUUUGGAAUAAUACCCCAUACGAUCAUUAAUCGGCAUCGAUUGAUGAAGAAAACUCCGGUGGUAGAAGAUGGGCAUGCGUCCUAUUAGUUAGUUGGUGAGGUAACGGCUCACCAAGACGUCGAUAGGUAGGGGUCCUGAGAGGGAGAUCCCCCACACUGGUACUGAGACACGGACCAGACUCCUACGGGAGGCAGCAGUGAGGAAUAUUGGACAAUGGAGGCAACUCUGAUCCAGCCAUGCCGCGUGCAGGAAGACGGCCCUAUGGGUUGUAAACUGCUUUUAUACAGGAAGAAUUGUACCUACGUGUAGGUAUUUGACGGUACUGUACGAAUAAGGA
rnacentral:rRNA from 1 species